UGAACGCUGGCGGCGUGCUUAACACAUGCAAGUCGAACGAAGCACUUUAUUAUGAUUUCUUCGGAAUGACGAUUUUGUGACUGAGUGGCGGACGGGUGAGUAACGCGUGGGUAACCUGCCUUGUACAGGGGGAUAACAGUUGGAAACGGCUGCUAAUACCGCAUAAGCGCACGGCAUCGCAUGAUGCAGUGUGAAAAACUCCGGUGGUAUAAGAUGGACCCGCGUUGGAUUAGCUAGUUGGUGAGGUAACGGCCCACCAAGGCGACGAUCCAUAGCCGACCUGAGAGGGUGACCGGCCACAUUGGGACUGAGACACGGCCCAAACUCCUACGGGAGGCAGCAGUGGGGAAUAUUGCACAAUGGGCGAAAGCCUGAUGCAGCGACGCCGCGUGAGCGAAGAAGUAUUUCGGUAUGUAAAGCUCUAUCAGCAGGGAAGAUAAUGACGGUACCUGACUAAGAAGCACCGGCUAAAUACGUG
rnacentral:rRNA from 1 species